rnacentral:tRNA from 1 species
GUGGUUCAGUGGAAGAACAUCUGCGUGGAAUGCAGAAGUUUCCAGGUUCAAUCACUGGUACCCUCA